AGCGAACGCUGGCGGCAGGCCUAACACAUGCAAGUCGAGCGGAGAUGAGGUGCUUGCACCUUAUCUUAGCGGCGGACGGGUGGGUAAUGCUUAGGAAUCUGCCUAUUAGUGGGGGACAACAUUCCGAAAGGAAUGCUAAUACCGCAUACGUCCUACGGGAGAAAGCAGGGGAUCUUCGGACCUUGCGCUAAUAGAUGAGCCUAAGUCGGAUUAGCUAGUUGGUGGGGUAAAGGCCUACCAAGGCGACGAUCUGUAGCGGGUCUGAGAGGAUGAUCCGCCACACUGGGACUGAGACACGGCCCAGACUCCUACGGGAGGCAGCAGUGGGGAAUAUUGGACAAUGGGGGGAACCCUGAUCCAGCCAUGCCGCGUGUGUGAAGAAGGCCUUAUGGUUGUAAAGCACUUUAAGCGAGGAGGAGGCUACUGAGACUAAUACUCUUGGAUAGUGGACGUUACUCGCAGAAUAAGCACCGGCUAACUCUGUGCCAGCCGCCGCGGUAAAAC
rnacentral:rRNA from 1 species